GAAGUGGGGGGGCUAUACAUGCAGUCGAGCGGACAGAUGGGAGCUUGCUCCCUGUAUGUUAGCGGCGGACGGGUGAGUAACACGUGGGUAACCUGCCUGUAAGACUGGGAUAACUCCGGGAAACCGGGGCUAAUACCGGAUGCUUGAUUGAACCGCAUGGUUCAAUUAUAAAAGGUGGCUUUUAGCUACCACUUACAGAUGGACCCGCGGCGCAUUAGCUAGUUGGUGAGGUAACGGCUCACCAAGGCAACGAUGCGUAGCCGACCUGAGAGGGUGAUCGGCCACACUGGGACUGAGACACGGCCCAGACUCCUACGGGAGGCAGCAGUAGGGAAUCUUCCGCAAUGGACGAAAGUCUGACGGAGCAACGCCGCGUGAGUGAUGAAGGUUUUCGGAUCGUAAAACUCUGUUGUUAGGGAAGAACAAGUACCGUUCGAAUAGGGCGGUACCUUGACGGUACCUAACCAGAAAGCCACGGCUAACUACGUGCCAGCAGCCGCGGUAAUACGUAGGUGGCAAGCGUUGUCCGGAAUUAUUGGGCGUAAAGCGCGCGCAGGCGGUUUCUUAAGUCUGAUGUGAAAGCCCCCGGCUCAACCGGGGAGGGUCAUUGGAAACUGGGGAACUUGAGUGCAGAAGAGGAGAGUGGAAUUCCACGUGUAGCGGUGAAAUGCGUAGAGAUGUGGAGGAACACCAGUGGCGAAAGCGACUCUCUGGUCUGUAACUGACGCUGAGGCGCGAAAGCGUGGGGAGCGAACAGGAUUAGAUACCCUGGUAGUCCACGCCGUAACGAUGAGUGCUAAGUGUUAGAAGGGUUUCCGCCCUUUAGUGCUGCAGCAAACGCAUUAAGCACUCCGCCUGGGGAGUACGUCCGCAGACUGAAACUCAAAGAAUUGACGGGGGCCCGCCACAAGCGUGGGAGCAUGGUGGUUUAAUCGAAGCAACGCGAAGAACCUUACAGGUCUUGACAUCUCUGACACCCUAGAAAAUAGGGCUUCCCCUUCGGGGCGAGUGACAGGUGGUGCCAUGAUGUCGUCAGCCUCUGUCUGGGAAUGUUGGUUAGUUCCGCACGAGGCCACCUUGAUCUAAUUGCAGCAUUCAAGUUGCAGCCUUAAAAGUUAACUUGCCG
rnacentral:rRNA from 1 species